CGUGCCAGCAGCCGCGGUAACACGAACCGUACGAACGUUAUUCGGAAUCACUGGGCUUAAAGGGUGCGUAGGCGGCCUGGUAAGUUGAGUGUGAAAUCCCCCGGCUCAACCGAGGAAUUGCGCUCAAAACUAUCCGGCUUGAGGAAGGCAGAGGUAAGCGGAACUAAUGGUGGAGCGGUGGAAUGCGUUGAUAUCAUUAGGAACACCUGAGGCGAAAGCGGCUUACUGGGCCUUUCCUGACGCUGAGGCACGAAAGUUAGGGGAGCCAACGGGAUUAGAUACCCCGGUAGUCCUAUCUGUAAACGAUGAGCACUGGAUUGAGGGGACCUCCACAUCCUCUCGGUCGUAGCGAAAGUGUUAAGUGCUCCGCCUGGGGAGUAUGGUUGCAAGGCUGAAACUCAAAGGAAUUGACGGGGGCUCACACAAGCGGUGGAGGAUGUGGCUUAAUUCGAGGCUACGCGAAGAACCUUAUCCUGGUCUUGACAUGCUUGAGAAUCCUCUUGAAAGAGAGGAGUGCCCUUCGGGGAGCUCUUGCACAGGUGCUGCAUGGCUGUCGUCAGUUCGUGUCGUGAGAUGUCGGGUUAAGUCCCUGAACGAGCGAAACCCUUAUCCCUAGUUGCCAGCGGGUCAUGCCGGGGACUCUAGGGAGACUGCCGGUGUUAAACCGGAGGAAGGUGGGGAUGACGUCAAGUCCUCAUGGCCUUUAUGAUCAGGGCUGCACACGUCCUACAAUGGAUCGUACAACGGGAAGCGAUCUCGCGAGAGCAAGCAAAUCCCAAAAAGCGGUCCUCAGUUCAGAUUGCAGGCUGAAACUCGCCUGCAUGAAGUGGAAUCGCU
rnacentral:rRNA from 1 species